rnacentral:rRNA from 1 species
UACGUAGGGGGCAAGCGUUGUCCGGAUUUAUUGGGCGUAAAGAGCGUGUAGGCGGUUUGGUAGGUCCGUUGUGAAAACUCGAGGCUCAACCUCGAGACGUCGGCGGAAACCAUCUGGCUAGAGUCCGGAAGAGGAGAGUGGAAUUCCUGGUGUAGCGGUGAAAUGCGCAGAUAUCAGGAGGAACACCUAUAGCGAAGGCAGCUCGCUGGGACGUGACUGACGCUGAGACGCGAAAGCGUGGGGAGCAAACAGG